GCUCAGGACGAACGCUGGCGGCGUGCUUAACACAUGCAAGUCGAACGAUGAACCGCGUUUCGGGCGGGGAUUAGUGGCGAACGGGUGAGUAACACGUGGGCAAUCUGCCCUGCACUCUGGGACAAGCCCUGGAAACGGGGUCUAAUACCGGAUAUGACUGUCCAUCGCAUGGUGGAUGGUGUAAAGCUCCGGCGGUGCAGGAUGAGCCCGCGGCCUAUCAGCUUGUUGGUGAGGUAGUGGCUCACCAAGGCGACGACGGGUAGCCGGCCUGAGAGGGCGACCGGCCACACUGGGACUGAGACACGGCCCAGACUCCUACGGGAGGCAGCAGUGGGGAAUAUUGCACAAUGGGCGAAAGCCUGAUGCAGCGACGCCGCGUGAGGGAUGACGGCCUUCGGGUUGUAAACCUCUUUCAGCAGGGAAGAAGCGAAAGUGACGGUACCUGCAGAAGAAGCGCCGGCUAACUACGUGCCAGCAGCCGCGGUAAUACGUAGGGCGCAAGCGUUGUCCGGAAUUAUUGGGCGUAAAGAGCUCGUAGGCGGCUUGUCACGUCGGUUGUGAAAGCCCGGGGCUUAACCCCGGGUCUGCAGUCGAUACGGGCAGGCUAGAGUUCGGUAGGGGAGAUCGGAAUUCCUGGUGUAGCGGUGAAAUGCGCAGAUAUCAGGAGGAACACCGGUGGCGAAGGCGGAUCUCUGGGCCGAUACUGACGCUGAGGAGCGAAAGCGUGGGGAGCGAACAGGAUUAGAUACCCUGGUAGUCCACGCCGUAAACGGUGGGCACUAGGUGUGGGCAACAUUCCACGUUGUCCGUGCCGCAGCUAACGCAUUAAGUGCCCCGCCUGGGGAGUACGGCCGCAAGGCUAAAACUCAAAGGAAUUGA
rnacentral:rRNA from 1 species